AGUGAACGCUGGCGGUAGGCCUAACACAUGCAAGUCGAACGGCAGCACAGUAAGAGCUUGCUCUUACGGGUGGCGAGUGGCGGACGGGUGAGGAAUACAUCGGAAUCUACUUUUUCGUGGGGGCUAACGUAGGGAAACUUACGCUAAUACCGCAUACGACCCACGGGUGAAAGCAGGGGAUCUUCGGACCUUGCGCGAUUGAAUGAGCCGAUGUCGGAUUAGCUAGUUGGCGGGGUAAAGGCCCACCAAGGCGACGAUCCGUAGCUGGUCUGAGAGGAUGAUCAGCCAGACUGGAACUGAGACACGGUCCAGACUCCUACGGGAGGCAGCAGUGGGGAAUAUUGGACAAUGGGCGCAAGCCUGAUCCAGCCAUACCGCGUGGGUGAAGAAGGCCUUCGGGUUGUAAAGCCCUUUUGGUGGGAAAGAAAAGCAGCAGGUUAAUACCCCGCUGUUCUGACGGUACCCAAAGAAUAAGCACCGGCUAACUUCGUG
rnacentral:rRNA from 1 species